rnacentral:rRNA from 1 species
GAAGAGAGAGUUCAAGAGUACGUGAAACUGCUCAGAGGUAAACGGGUGGGCCCUCGAAAUCCUGUGGCGGGAAGAUUCAGUCGGGAGGCUCGGACGUGGCGCUGGAAUAUCACAAGAAGGUUCCCGGAGAGGGGCCGUUCCGGUGCCGCGCUUCUGGGACACCCGACGCAUUUGUUUCCCGCCCGAAGGACGCCGCAACCGGUUGGGACGCGGCCUUAAGGAUGGGAGAUGGCAGGUGGCCGGUGGCGCUCCUCGUGGGCGUCGCCGGUUGUUAGCCGUCCCGUCGCACGGCACGCGACCCGACCGUGGUAUCACGAGGCCCUUGUGGGCUUCUCCGCCUCCUCCUUAACGGGACGGCGGGUAGAAACGUGGCAGGAGCACGACCCUCUGCGGGCGCACGGACUGACUCCGUGGCCCAGCGUUGGGUUGUCUUCGUUGGUCGCGCAGUGCCCGUUGGAGUGUCGGCGGUUGGCGGCGAGUAGAUCGGUCACCCACCCGACCCGUCUUGAAACACGGACCAAGGAGUCUAACAUGUGUGCGAGUCAAUGGGUCUCGAAUAAGCCCAGAGGCGCAAUGAAAGCAAAGGCCGGAAUCACUCCGGCUGUGUUGGGACCCUGCCCCUUCGCGGGUGGGGCGCACCAACGACCCGUCCUGUUCCACUUGUGGAUUGGGCGGAGUCUGAGCAUACACGUUGGGACCCGAAAGAUGGUGAACUAUGCCCGGACAGGACGAGGCCAGAGGAAACUCUGGUGGAGGU